rnacentral:rRNA from 1 species
UACAGAGGUCCCAAGCGUUGUUCGGAUUCAUUGGGCGUAAAGGGUGUGUAGGUGGCGCCGUAAGUCGGGUGUGAAAUCUCGGGGCUUAACUCCGAAACUGCAUUCGAUACUGCCGUGCUUGAGGACUGGAGAGGAGACUGGAAUUUACGGUGUAGCGGUGAAAUGCGUAGAUAUCGUAAGGAAGACCAGUGGCGAAGGCGGGUCUCUGGACAGUUCCUGACACUGAGGCACGAAGGCCAGGGGAGCAAACGGG